GUUAUGUGUGUAAAUCUAGAUGGAGUUCUUUACUUUUAUGGAAGAAUGGAAUAACUGCAAAAUCAAAAUGCAAUUUCCUGAAGCACUAUAGCAGAUCGGAGAAGAGGUGAUUAAGACAAAGGAAACUUAAAAUGCAACAUUUUAGUGCAAUGUGAGAAUACUAAGUUGAUGCAAAUCAAAUUAUGUCAUCAGGGUUUCUCACACCGAAUGUUGGAUUCAGGCAGGAAUAGGAAACAAUGACAACAUUUGAAUUCAGUGGAAAAUGCACUUUAAGUCAAAGAGUAAUUUGGGUGGAAAAUUUCCAUCAGAACUAGCUUUAGGUAACUGAAUUGCCACUGCUACAAAUGUUUAUAAUUAUUACCUCUAAAUUUGCAUGUAUGCAUUUGCAUGUAAAAAAAUCAUUCCUAAAACUCUCCCCAAACAGUAAUAGUGAGGCAUGCUACUUUAGAAAUGUCAUAAUUUUAGUGUUUAUCUAAAUGCUGAAGUUUCCAGCAGUGGAGCUAUAGUCUGAAUUUAGAGGACCAAACACUUAUUAACGUGCAAAAUUGCUUUAACGGAUCUAGAAGUUCUCUUUCCAUGCCAAUAUGAUUUGCCUCAUUAACAUUACACUGUUGAAUUCUUAUCAUUGCACAGGUGUAGAGUUGAAAAUCAUGGAGUUUCAAAACACCUGCUGUUUGGGCUCAUCAAGCCAUGAUGAUGUUCUUUCUUUGGUCCUUGAUACUUUUACAUUCAUAGAAAUCAGUUUAGUUUGUGACUAUAGUUUUUAUUUUGUUUCUGCAUGAAUGCAAUUCUAGUCUUCAAACCAGACAUUUACAGUGAUUGUAUUCAAAAUCCUUUAUGUGCAUUCUAAAUAAUGCUUCAAUUUAAGUUUAGAAGCAGGUACAUUCAUGGUAACAAUUGAUUGCAAGUCACUAUUGCAGAAUAGCAAUGGAAGGUACGUUCAAAAAUUUCAGUUAUUAGUAGCAUUUCAGGAUUGUGACCUCAGUUUAGAAAACCAUUAAGAAAAAAUUCUUAGAUGUAAUAAAAAUGCUACAAUACUACUAGCAUAAUCUGGCUUUAAGAGCAAACCUAACAUUAAACGUGUCAGAAGUAUUUUCGUGAAUAUCAAUGCACUGUUGAGGUAGCAGUUAUAGUAAUGUACUUUUUUUUGCUUCAAGAACUUCAGAAGCUUAGGAGUUUUUUGACUACUGGAAUACUUAGAAGUGCUUUGUGGUAAAGUACAAGGACUAAAAAUAUUUUCUGAGCUAGUGUGUGCAUAUAUGAUACGUUCUCAAGUCUAUGUUGGUCUUUAUAGAAACUAGGAAUAGAUAUAAAAGCAUAUCCAUAAGAUGUGGGUAUAAGUUAUACAAACAAAUUGGGAAAUAUCAUUAAUAUUUGCUCAGAGGUGACAAAAUCUCUAAGAAGCUCUACCUUCUUUAAAAAUAAAAAUAUAUUUAAAUCUGGAUUUUUGUCAAUAGCUAAAAUCAAAUUUCAUUUAGAGAGCUAUCUUGUUUAGCUUGCUACAGGGUUCUGCAGUUGUGAAAUUUCUGUUUCUUGACAGAAAGAAGAAAAGAAAGUGUCUAUAAAUUAUUUUGGUCAAAAAAGAAAAGUUAUAUAUUUUAUGAGGCUUUGUUUUGGCUAUAAUAGAGUUCUCCUUCCUGUCAUCCAAUUGUAAAUUAGAUAGCCAUUAGCUAUUCCUUUUAGGCAAAUCUGGUAAGACUACAUGUAAUGUAUUAGUGUUCCUUUUUUCUGUAAUAAUCCUAUUACCAAAAUAUCAUGGUAUUUAACCAAUUAACAUAAAAUGAAAAAAAGUGGUCAUUCCUUUAGUAGUCUGCAAUCAUGUAUUAUAAAGAAGAAAUCCCUACAGUUUGAGGUGAGAACUUGCUUUGUUGUCUUGUGCCUAAUCAAUGCUACAAAAGCUCUCUUAUGCAGUGGGGUAGUGCCCUUUGUAAGCACAUUAUCCCACAUAAAGAAAAUUUUAUUCUUUCAGGUGAAUCUCUACAAGUCUUACCGUUUUGCUGAAGUAGAAGCAAUUCUGUAGAUGCCAUCCUGCCUCAAGUAGAUUAAUCAGUGGAAAAGCAUAUGAGUGAAUCCCUGUGAGAGCUUUUCAAUACGCAGGUGCCCUUUUUAGGUAGCUCAAGGGGAGACCAGCAUACCCUUCUUUCCUCUGUAAAAUGAGGGUGCUAAUACCAGCUUCAGUGGUGGACUGUGAGAAUUAAUUUAUUAAUGCUUAGAGUCCUGGAUAUUAGAGUCUGGAUAAGAAUGAAUCAUUGCCAGCAUCAGUAUUAAAACUAAUUAUGAGGAUCUAUAGCCAAUUUCUACCAGUUUCCAUGUUAGCAUUUUGAUGUAUUUCAUAGAUUUUGUUGUAACUCCUUAUGUAGAAAGGGGUGUAGUGAGUAAUUCUGUAGUGCUGAAGAAUGGUAGAUUCACAUCUUUAUCGCCCUUUCAUUUCUGGCAUUUUUUGUGAACUAGUCUUUGUUCAUAUAAGGUGUUUUUUUUUUCACUUUCAGUUUGAUCUUGUAUCUCCUCAGGAUUUUUGCAACACAUAAAAAGAAGGUGUCAAAAACAUAUGCUUAGAUCUGAAGGAUAUGCUACUGUGUAUCCUUAUCUACUGAAAGCCCUUCAAAAUAAUUCUUCUUCAAGCUUGUGGCCCUUGAACAAAGGAUUACGUAUAUUGGAUAUAUAUUUGUUCUCAUGUGGAUUGGUGCGAGAAAAUCCCAUUAAAGCUAAUGGGAGGUAGAAGAGCAUAUGUGAAGAAGGCAACAUCCCUGAGGAGCCACCCUCUGGAAAACUUUUGGUGAGGGUGCAUAACUGGUUUGCAGGUCCCCUGAAGAAUUCUGCCCAAGAAUGCACUCCUGCUUUUCAGCACCCAGUUCUCUGAAGGAGAAUGAAAGAAGAAUACAUCUAUCAUGUCAAUGAUCCAUGAAGUCAGAAGAGAUUAUAUAGUCUACUAUAAAGGCGCUGAAGGAGUCAUUAUAGCCUAUUAGAUACAUCAUUGAGAUUCAGCAUAAUCAUAUCCUGGACAAGUCUUAACUCUGGGGGAAAGGCAUGGAAGAAUUGCUGUUUCAUUGCUGGGAAACAUCUGUAAGCAACACAGAAACUGAGUUUCCUUGAGAAAAGAGAGAUUAAAUGAAUCUCAGAUUUGAGAUUUGGAAAAAUCAAGUUCCUCCAUGGAUUCCCUCCCUAAUCCCUAGACCUGUUAUUUUGGACUGUACUCCUUGCAAAAUGACCCUCAUGGGUCAGUGUUCUCAUGUUUCUGAUAGAAGUAUGUUCUGUUAGUACCGCACUGAUACAGGGUGGUCUGGGUCACUGGCUGCAGUUUGGCUUCUCUUUCCCUACCAGAAUGAACUCUCCCAUUGAAUUGUUUCACUGUAGUACUAGAAAAUCGUUAAUAAUUUGUAGAAGUGCCAAAUAAAUAACACUAGUGUGGAAGACGUUCUGUCAUGAUCAGAGGUAUAGCCUCUUACUGAAACAUCCCAUUUCAAUGCCAUUUCAUUUUCCUCUAAACUAGAGCUGUUAGAUGUUUUAUGAGUCACUCACCUACCCUCUAAUUUGAUUUGAGUACAGACUUUUACAUGAAACUCAGCUUGUGCUGUGUCAGCUAGAUCAAUAGUCCAUAAACAUUCAACCCCCUUAGCUGGAGCUGUCAAUUACCCAGAGAAAGGAAUCAGUCCUCUGAUUGCAGGUACCAGGUGCUUUUGCUUAUUUCAUCCCUGCUAGUGGGAUUGCAACACAAUUUAAUAUACUCUGACCAUAAGACUCCUUCUAGGUUCCAAGAGUACCAGUAUUACCAUUUUCUUCCUCUUAAACAUCAACACUGCCAGCAUAUGUCAAAAGCCAUCCCAUUUCCUAAGAUCAGGAUGCUGGCAUUUAAGAUUGUUCUUGUAGUGUACCUCACUGUUUAAAAAAAUUAUUUCCAUACUUUCUCAGUAUGAAUUAAGUUUCAAAUGUCUGCUCUAUGACCAUGAAUUAGCAUUUUUUCUGUUUAGUAGUUAAUGUCCUCUCAAUUAAUAUAUGUGACACAGAGGCCUUUAAUAAGUCAGUACUAGUCUGAGAAUGUUUCAGAAAAUUUUGUUAUCACUUGGGGUAGCAGGAACUGGCCUGAAAUAUUUUAUAUUUUAUGCAUGUAGUUAAAAUAUCUUCUACUGAUUUAUAGUACAGAAAAGAGAUUUCCCAGCAUAGCUGGAGCAAACGAUAGAGUUGGCUAAUUCCCUGAAACACUAAUCCAGUUCCUCAAUCGUGGCAAAUUCAUCUUUCUUUCUUGCAAGUAAUUCAUCUCAUGUUGAAAUGGUCAGAUUUAAAUACCUUCAAAGAAGGAUAUAAAAAGCAGUUUGCAUUCUGUCAUUACAGAAAAAUGUAUUUGGUUCAUGAGGAAAAGACUCAUACAGGUAAACUACAAUGAUAUUCAGCCCCUAAACACUUUUUCUGUUCCAACGCUUUCUCAUUUCUUCUUGGAACUAUGAUAAUGCUGGAUAAACUGCUCUACUGUUUUUGUUUUACUUUUCCAAGAUUUUAACCUUUUUACCAGUUUAUUUUAAUUUUAAAUUAAAAAAAACCCACCACCUGAUAUGUGAUUUUCAGACUGACUAAGUAGAGUUAGAAAUACAACCCUGUCUUUGUGCUUUUGUUCCCUGUAGAUGCUCAUUUUCAUUUUUAGUCAACCACAUUUGAAAAGAAAUUUAUGGCCGCUCUUAGCCAGUUGUUGUCAUGCUUGCUGAGGCAUCUGUGUUUAAGAAAGCAGUAGGCCAUUCAGGCUGCCUCCCAUCAAGUGGGCCACUGGUAUUUAAAGGGGGUGGUAGAAGUGACACCAAAGCUUGAGACCUACUGGAAGUCUUCUGAAUGUGGUCUUUCUCCAUUCAAAGUUUUCCACGGGAGGGACUGCAUUUCCCAGGAAAUCCUAGUGGAGGCAUCAAGAUUUAAGCACCAGUGAUUUCCAUGGAUUACAUAUCCUCUUUCUAACAAUGAAGUUAUUGUAUUCUAAAAAAACCCCAACCCCCCCCAAAACCCUUAAUUGAACUGUGUGCUAGGUAUUUUGUCUGUCAGCCCUGUUCCUGCAGUCAUGAAAUGUGUUUUCAUUGGCUACCAGGGUGAUGUAAACUGCUAAUCUCUGUUCUGAAUGUGCACGCUGUGGUAGGAGCCAACACCUGCCCUUGGUGCUGUGGUGGCUGGUCUGAAUGCGACCUUUAGAUACUGAGCGCUGAGCUGUGUAUCUCCAUGGAUGGCUGCAGAGACUCAUGAUUGCUGUGCUCUGAGUUGGCUGGAUGCAAGCCAGGUCUGUGCAGAAACAGUAUAGUUGCAUUAGUAUAGUGCUGAGCUGGAACUAAUAAGCCUUGGUAAAUCUGAAUGUGUUUCAUACUCCUGAGUCCCUAAUUCAUUUUUUAAAAUAGUUUUUUUACCCUGGAUCAACAUACAUGCUUAACCGUUAUGAAGACUGUUACAGCGAUCCUUUCAAAGAUUUUUUUUCAAAAAAGGACAGAAGAAUAAAUUACUUACCAUGGUAUAACUAACUCUUGAUGCUGAAUAAUCAUGGGAGUCUGCAAAAUAGCUCUGUAAUUAACAUUAUUGGAUUAAUAUUGCUGAUUUAAGUCCUUAGAAAUACUGAGCAUCGCAUUCCUAAUAAAUCUAACAGUAUUGGCUUUAGCCACAUACAUUACUCAUGAAAAAUAUAGCUCUGAGAUUUAAGAAAAUUCAUUCCUCUGCAGUUCUGAAAUAGAGCAGUGAUUUUUUUCCCCUCCAAUCAAUAAAUAGAAAUAACAGACAUUAUUAGCAUUACUCUGAAACUACACAUUCUUUACUUCAUUUUAACUGGAGGUCUUGCACAAGCUUGUUUUAUUUAAUAAUACCAGAUGAGAAUGUUUUGAACAUCUAGAAAAGCUAACGUGAUGUGAAAAGACUUUCUCAGUUUGGCAGCUAGACUGUAAAUUAUGAAGAUGUGAGUACACAAAGGAAGUACUGUAGUUAAUUCUAUCAGUUUUUAAAGCAAGUCAAGUUUUUGAUAACACCAGGGAGAUGAAAAGGAGUAUUUCUUGAGCAGAAUGCCAUAUCAGCAUGCUUUUUAUCUUUGGUGUAGGCCAUUGACUGUAAAAUCAUCAAUCUCACAUAGCAUUUAUGGUCAAUAUGUUGAAGAAAUUAAAAACAUUCCAGUUUAGAGAAGUAAUGUGUAGAUAACCUGAAGAGAUGAAAUGCUGCAGUUGUGAUUUAUUUAUAGUCUUUUACAGUUUCAUUUCUACUUCUUGCAAGAUACUAAAUAUUGCUUCGAAGUAUACUGCUAUCAUAAGCACAUAUAUUUUGUAGUCUGUAAAAGAUCAGUUAUUAUGUUGUAACUUGCUACAAAUCAGCAGGUUUUAUGCAUAUUGCAUACUUUGCAUUUGUUAUCUGUUCUUCACUGAAACAGAUUUGUAGGGUCAUUAUCUUCACUGGUGUGAUCAUAUUAAGGAAGUGAUUAUUUUUUUAGUUUCAAAAAUUAUCUGAAGCAAAAAACAUCAAUGCCUAUAGUUAUAGGUGACCUUUUAUAUUUUCAGUAUAUAGAGAAUUAUUGCAAUAUUUGUUGUGUUGCAAAGCCCUAUCAAUAUCAAAAACAAUAACAAUGCAAAACCAGGUUUGAACCAAAUUCAGGUAACAGUAUGCAAAAAGAUUUUCUGGGAAGAUUUCAUUUCAUCUGACUUUGCAUGUGUAUAGUGUGGAUGUGUAUAUCUGAACUAUUCAUCCUAAGCUGCUUUAACAAUUGAUGAAAAGAAAGAGGCACUUCCAAGUGUGAUUCAUAUAACUGUUUUUAGAUAUCUACUUUGGCAUGAGAUAAACUGCCAUCAGAGUGUCUAUUUACGUCCGUUAACUGUGAAUGCAGCAAAAUCGGUAGCUCAGAUGUAGCCACCUGCAUUUGCUUUCCAUGGCUCCAGUGGUCUUUACAUUAGGCCUUAAAAAUGUGCCAGCUCUUUCCGUAGUGCUCAAAAGCAAAACUGCUUUAGCAUACUGAUACUACAGACGGCAAGAAUACUUAAUCACCUGCAAGUUCUCCCAAAAUGUCUGUGAGAAAAGCUAUAUGUUUUGUCUGACGUUAAGUUAGAUGAUUAUAAUGGGUCUUUUUGACCCAUUUUAAUCACCUGAAAAGAUCCCUUGUAGACAGUUUUGAAAACCUUCCAGGCUCCAUUGCAUCAUUUUGUGGCAGAAACUGCCUCAGUUUUACUUUUGUGAAUUGGGUGGGGUGUUAGCAGAACUGCUGCAAUCAGUUGGUGUCAUGUAAUAAGGCCUCUGUGUUCCUCUGAGAGAAUUCCUUUUUGUGUGGGAGCAUGUCUUUUAGGAAAACUUUUCAUUUUGGUUUUUAAGUGUCACUGAAGGACAAAGCUCAGUCCACAAGUGCAAUAUUCUUUGCCUUAGCAGAGCACGGAUGGUUUCUGCCCCGAAGAUAAACAGACUAAGAAGCUAGAAAACAAAAAGGGGAAAGGAAGGAAACUGAUCAUAAAGCCUCUUGUGCUUUCCACUUUGCAGAGCAGAUACAGCCUUAGAGUCUCAGUCAUGAAGAAGCACAGUGCAUGUGCAAUAACUACUUUUCCAAACAGUUAGUAUUUUUUUUUUUUUUCAAUGCUUUAAACCUCAGCCAUACAAUUCCAUAACUGGCAGAAGCUGUUAGAGGCUACCUUGCUGCCACUGCGGCCUGUAGUACAACAACCACAGACUAAAGGCACUAAGGCGGUGAAGAGCCCAGAAAUAAAUAAAAGGAUUUUGCUUCUUGAGCUUCUCUCUUUCAAGUCUGUUUAAAAUAAGUCUUUGGUAUGUCCAUAUUUAGGUAUACACAAUUUUUUAAUUAGAUCACGUAAUUAAGAAUAGAAACUUUUAUUAUUUACCUUUUCUACUUCUCUGUGUAGAGAACAUGUAUUAUGCAGUAACCAUAUGUAAGUUCUCUUUUUGAGAAGAGCAUUUAGGCUACAAAACAAAGAUAAUGUUUACUGAAUUCAGUUCCUAAUCCCUUAACUUCGCUUUAUUCUGAACGAAAUUGGCAUGCAACAUUUCUGUCUUAUUGUAGUAACUUUUCAUAAGACUUUUAAUUAUUAUCAUAAUAACUAAAUCCCACCUUGCAGAGGUACAGCUGCUAUAUAAAAGGAAGACAAUACAAGCUCCAGUGCUUUUUCUACUUGACAACUAAAGUACAUGGUACAGUGGUUAUAAUUACAGUCUGGAAGAAAUGUUAGAUGAAGAAUUAGAGCCACAUAUCCCUAAAAUGUCAGGCCUAGCAAAUCAACAGAUAUUUCCCAGGUAUUGUUGAGACUAGGUUUAACCAUGACAAUAUCAGAUAGUAGUGCCAAAAUUUAUCCUUCUUCUGUUAGUAAUUCUCAAUAAAUAUCUCAUGAUACAUGACGAUAUGUAUUGCAAAACACAUAUUAUUCCAUUAUUAUGCCAUUCAUAGUAUUAUUCCAUUCUUUCUUUACAGAAUACAGAACUCUGAAAUGUAAGAAAAGUAACAAAAGGUGUGAAAAGUCUCUGAGAUCAAUAAUUUUGUAAAUAGUAAUAUGAGGGUUAAAAGAGCCAAUAAACAAUAUUGCUUGAGAAGUGUAACUUUUUCAGUGGUUUACAUUAAGUCUGCAAAGUGACUCACCUAAAUCUGGCAUAAAUAAAAUCGAUUAUAGGUUGUUUCUUUGUGGCAUGGAUCACAGACUUAUGUCAUUGGUAGCCUUUUUCAUGCUAGUGUGCUACCAUGAUAAAAAGAAAAUACAGGCCAAAAAGAAUAAGAGUAAAGAAUGAACAUUCAUUUUCUGAAGAAGUGGUGUUAGUAUUUCCAGAUAAUUUUGUUUAAAAAGAUUAAGAAAAGUAAUAGGUACUAAGCCAUUAACCUUUCAUUUCAACAAGAACUUCUGUUUAGUCCACAGGAAUGUUUUGCAUAUGCUUCCACUGACUUACCUGGCAUAAAGAAAAGUAUAAAAAAAGUAGGAAGUCAUAUUUUAGUUUGUAUUGUGUAAGUCUUUUACAUUCUCAGGUGACAGGGGAGCAUGAAAUCUGUCAGCAGAGUUCCAGAAGAAUAUACACUUCCAAAUUCGUUGAGAAUUGAACCUGAAAAUGUGAGAUCCUUUCAGAUGCCACAAAGAAAAAGUGAGAACACAGAAUUGCCUGUUAUCUGUGUCUCUAAACAGGAGAGGCAUGGAUUUGACAGAUGGACCACUCGAUGGAUAAGGAAUUGGCUGGAGGUCAAUGGUCCAAGUGGAGACCAGUGACAAGUGGCAUUCAUCAGGGCUAGGUACUGGGACUGGCACUGUUAAACAUCCUUGUUGGUGACACAGGCAGUGGGACUGAGCACACCCUCCACAAGUCUGCUGAUGACACUCAGCUCUGUGGUGCACUUGACAUGCUGGAGGGAAGGGAUGCCCUCCAGAGGGAUCUUGACAGGCUUGAGCAGUGGGCCUGUGCAAAACUCAUGAAGUUCCACAAGGCCAAAUGCAAGGUCCCGCACCUGCGUUGAGCAAUCCAAAGCACAAUUACAGGCCAGGUAGAGAAUGGACAGCCCUGAAGAGAAAGACUUGGAGGUGUUGAUGGUUGAGAAGCUCAACAUGACCCAGCCAUGUGUGCUUGCAGCCCAGAAAGCCAACCAUACCCUGGGCUGCAUCAGAAGAAGCAUGAAGGUUAAGGGAGGUGAUCCUCCCACUCUGCUCUCGUAAGACACCUGGAGUGAAUUUGUUUAGUAAAGCCACACUAGGGGAAGCAAAAAUCUACAUUAAAAGAAAGCGUGGUGUGUAAAACCUGUAUCAAAAGAACUUUUAGCUCUUUUAUUUUUAUUCUAGGUUCUACUUUUUAUUGUAAGUAGGUAGAACAUGCAGCUAAAGUCAAUGUUCUGUUUUUGACAUCUAAAUGAAUAAAAAGAUGACAUUGCAAAGUAACACAGAAA